GAGCGUGUAGCGCAGUUGGUAGCGCCUUCGCUUUGCAUCAGUGGUGUGUCUGCGAAAGGUCUCGAGUUUGAGGUCUUGAGGUCUUGACUCGUUCA